rnacentral:rRNA from 1 species
UACGUAGGGGGCAAGCGUUGUCCGGAUUUAUUGGGCGUAAAGCGCUCGCAGGUGGUCCGUUGCGUCGUGCGUGAAAGCCCCCGGCUCAACUGGGGAGGGUCACUCGAUACUGAUCGACUCGAAGGCAGAAGAGGGAAGCGGAAUUCCCGGUGUAGUGGUGAAAUGCGUAGAUAUCGGGAGGAACACCAGUGGCGAAGGCGGCUUUCUGGUCUGCUCUUGACGCUGAGGCGCGAAAGCUAGGGUAGCAAACGGG